rnacentral:rRNA from 1 species
AUGGCGGCCAAGGAGGUGGAGAAGGUGGUCACCGCCGACGAAGAGACAACGGACAUCGUCGUCCAUAGGGUGCCGUACGGGGACCCGCCGGCGGUCCGGGCGCUGGACACGAGCGAGCUGACCACGUGGUCCCUGUACCGCGCCCUCAUCGGCGAGUUCACGGCCUCCCUCGUCCUCCUCUACGUGAGCAUCGCCACCGUCAUCGGGUACAGGAGCCAGUCCUCCGCCCCCGAUGACCGGUGCACCGGCGUCGGCUACCUCGGCGUCGCUUGGUCCUUCGGCGCCACCGUCUCCGUCCUCGUCUACUCCACUAGCGGCAUCUCAGGCGGGCACAUAAACCCGGCGGUGACGUUCGCGCUCUUCAUGGCCGGGAAGGUGACGCUGGUGCGCUCGGUGCUGUACGUGGCGGCGCAGUGCCUCGGCGCCGUCGUCGGCGUGGGCAUCGUCAAGGGGAUCAUGAAGCACCCCUACGACGACCUGGGGGGCGGCGCCAACGCGGUGGCCGGGGGGUACUCGCUCGGGGCGGCCCUUGGCGCCGAGACCUUGGGCACCUUCGUCCUCGCCUACGCCGUCUUCUCCGCCACCGACCCCAAGCGCACCGCCCGCGACGCCUUCGUCCCCCUGGUGGCGGCGCUCCCGAUCGGCAUGGCGGUGUUCGUGGUGCACCUGGCGACCAUCCCGAUCACCGGCACGGGCAUCAACCCGGCGAGGAGCCUGGGUGCCGCCGUCCUGUACAACCAGCACAAAACCUGGAAGCAACACUGCACAUGCCUAUAUAGUACUAUUGUUUCGUCGCUACAAGUGGGUCCCAUGCCAUGCCGGUGUCACUUCAGCCAUAUACGGUGCCACGUCGGCACAUUUUACGUCUACGAAUGA